UGCCAGCCGCCGCGGUAAGACGGAGGUGGCAAACGCUGUUCGGAAUCACUGGGCUUAAAGGGCGUGUAGGCGGCAGAUCAAGUCGGAUGUGAAAUCCCUCGGCUUAACCGAGGAACAGCACCCGAUACUGGUCAGCUAGAGUGCGAGAGGGGUGAGUGGAACUCCAGGUGUAGCGGUGAAAUGCGUAGAUAUCUGGAGGAACGCCGGUGGCGAAAGCGACUCACUGGGCCAUUACUGACGCUGAGGCGCGAAAGCGUGGGGAGCAAACAGGAUUAGAUA
rnacentral:rRNA from 1 species